rnacentral:rRNA from 1 species
UUGAAAGAUGGCUUCGGCUAUCACUUUUGGAUGGUCCCGCGGCGUAUUAGCUAGAUGGUGGGGUAACGGCUCACCAUGGCAAUGAUACGUAGCCGACCUGAGAGGGUAAUCGGCCACAUUGGGACUGAGACACGGCCCAAACUCCUACGGGAGGCAGCAGUAGGGAAUCUUCCACAAUGGACGAAAGUCUGAUGGAGCAACGCCGCGUGAGUGAAGAAGGGUUUCGGCUCGUAAAACUCUGUUGUUAAAGAAGAACAUAUCUGAGAGUAACUGUUCAGGUAUUGACGGUAUUUAACCAGAAAGCCACGGCUAACUACGUGCCAGCAGCCGCGGUAAUACGUAGGUGGCAAGCGUUGUCCGGAUUUAUUGGGCGUAAAGCGAGCGCAGGCGGUUUUUUAAGUCUGAUGUGAAAGCCUUCGGCUCAACCGAAGAAGUGCAUCGGAAACUGGGAAACUUGAGUGCAGAAGAGGACAGUGGAACUCCAUGUGUAGCGGUGAAAUGCGUAGAUAUAUGGAAGAACACCAGUGGCGAAGGCGGCUGUCUGGUCUGUAACUGACGCUGAGGCUCGAAAGUAUGGGUAGCAAACAGGAUUAGAUACCCUGGUAGUCCAUACCGUAAACGAUGAAUGCUAAGUGUUGGAGGGUUUCCGCCCUUCAGUGCUGCAGCUAACGCAUUAAGCAUUCCGCCUGGGGAGUACGGCCGCAAGGCUGAAACUCAAAGGAAUUGACGGGGGCCCGCACAAGCGGUGGAGCAUGUGGUUUAAUUCGAAGCUACGCGAAGAACCUUACCAGGUCUUGACAUACUAUGCAAAUCUAAGAGAUUAGACGUUCCCUUCGGGGACAUGGAUACAGGUGGUGCAUGGUUGUCGUCAGCUCGUGUCGUGAGAUGUUGGGUUAAGUCCCGCAACGAGCGCAACCCUUAUUAUCAGUUGCCAGCAUUAAGUUGGGCACUCUGGUGAGACUGCCGGUGACAAACCGGAGGAAGGUGGGGAUGACGUCAAAUCAUCAUGCCCCUUAUGACCUGGGCUACACACGUGCUACAAUGGAUGGUACAACGAGUUGCGAACUCGCGAGAGUAAGCUAAUCUCUUAAAGCCAUUCUCAGUUCGGAUUGUAGGCUGCAACUCGCCUACAUGAAGUCGGAAUCGCUAGUAAUCGCGGAUCAGCAUGCCGCGGUGAAUACGUUCCCGGGCCUUGUACACACCGCCCGUCACACCAUGAGAGUUUGUAACACCCAAAGUCGGUGGGGUAACCUUUUAGGAACCAGCCGCCUAAGGUGGGACAGAUGAUUAGGGUGAAGUCGUAACAAGGUAGCCGUAGGAGAACCUGCGGCUGGAUCACCUCCUUU